AGUGAACGCUGGCGGUAGGCCUAACACAUGCAAGUCGAACGGCAGCACAGUAAGAGCUUGCUCUUACGGGUGGCGAGUGGCGGACGGGUGAGGAAUACAUCGGAAUCUACUUUUUCGUGGGGGAUAACGUAGGGAAACUUACGCUAAUACCGCAUACGACCUACGGGUGAAAGCAGGGGAUCUUCGGACCUUGCGCGAUUGAAUGAGCCGAUGUCGGAUUAGCUAGUUGGCGGGGUAAAGGCCCACCAAGGCGACGAUCCGUAGCUGGUCUGAGAGGAUGAUAAGCCACACUGGAACUGAGACAGGGUCCAGACUCCUACGGGAGGGCGCAGUGGGGAAUAUUGGACAAUGGGCGCAAGCCUGAUCCAGCCAUACCGCGUGGGUGAAGAAGGCCUUCGGGUUGUAAAGCCCUUUUGUUGGGAAAGAAAAGCAGCAGGUUAAUACCCAGCUGUUCUGACGGUACCCAAAGAAUAAGCACCGGCUAACUUCGUG
rnacentral:rRNA from 1 species